CCCUGCCAAUCUCAUUCCUCUACUCCUUUUCCAAGGAACUGAGUCUUUUCCUCUCCCGAACAAUGAGUCUGAAGAAGUCGAUUCUGCCAAUCUCAUUCCUUUGCUCUUCGAAAGUCAUUGCUUUUUUUCGGUAUCGACUAAUGAAGCUUCGGAGGUCAUCGCUUUGUUUUCUCCUAGGGUUUUUGUUCGGCAUCAGCUAAUGCUUCAAAAAUCAUAUCCUCAUGCUUGUAAAAUGUGAUCGUGGUACAUUAGUAGAUCCUUUUGUCUUUUUAGCAGAUCCUAACCUCAUAGUCAUAGUCAUAUUUGUUGCCUGAAUUCAUGAACCCCUUUUUAGUCCUUCUUAAUUUCUAAAACCCUCGUCAUGACCAAACCAAUUUCAUCUUAGGAUCUAGCUUUUAGCGAUUUAGCAUCUGAGUUCAAUAAUCUCCCUGUCCUGUCUAUGGAUCGGCUCUUUUUAUCUGGUAUUGAUCGCACCAUGCCUACGGAAGCAUUCGAAAUGAUGUUAUGCUAAGUGCUCUUCAAUAAAAGAUGCGAAUCAGGUCUAUCAACUUUGAUCGAAGGGAACUUUGAUCUCAAAGAUCUAUCCGAGGCUGCAAUAGUAGGGCCCUUAGGAUCUGAUGAUAAUGUAAUGUUCUUGUGGCUCUUUGGAUUUCAAGGUCGAUGAUUCUGUUCAUUUUGGCCCCGAUUAUUUCCCCUUUGAUGAUCCUAAUGAUGAUGAGCUUUAGUUUCGUAACUCAAAA